ACUCAGAGUCCUGGGCUUACGCAAUUGGUGAGAAAUGGAAGCCUGCUUGCUCUGGGUGCUCCUGCUCCAGGUUCAUCUCAGCAAUUUGCCUGACAGAGGGUAUUACUGUUAGUCUUUGCAACCCAAUGGACUGUACCUCUGUCCAUGGAAUUCUCCAGGCAAGAAUACUGGAGUGGUUGCCAUUGCAUUCUCCAAGGGAUUUUCCUGACAUCCUGACCCAGGGAUUGAACCAGGAUCUCCCACACUGCAGGCAGAUUCAUUACCACCUGAGUGAUCAUUUCAGGGUGCUGAUCUUAUCAUUUGUUUCCCCUCUGGAGUGUGAUUGUGAAUCGGGAUUGUGGUUUAACAGUAAGCCCUAUGGAAACUGCAAACUCCAGCAAUAUCCUGUCGUCCACCUUCUUUCUCACAGAUAUCCCUGGAUAUGA
rnacentral:lncRNA from 1 species